rnacentral:misc_RNA from 1 species
GAAAGGGGAGAAGUAAUGUGAAUUGCAGAAUUCAGUGAAUCAUCGAAUCUUUGAACGCACCUUGCGCUCCUUGGUAUUCCUUGGAGCAUGCCUGUUUGAGUAUCAUGAAAUCUUCAAAGUAAAUCUUUUGUUAACUCAAUUGGUUUCUACUUUGGUAUUGGAGGUCUUUGCAGCUUCACACCUGCUCCUCUUUGUUCAUUAGCUGGAUCUCAGUGUUAUGCUUGGUUCCACUCGGCGUGAUAAGUUAUCCAUCGCUGAGGACACUGUAAAAGGUGGCCAAGGUAAAUGCAGAUGAACCGCUUCUAAUAGUCCAUUGACUUGGACAAUACUUUUAUGAUCUGAUCUCAAAUCAGGUAGGACUACCCGCUGAACUUAAGC